rnacentral:rRNA from 1 species
AGUGAACGCUGGCGGUAGGCCUAACACAUGCAAGUCGAACGGCAGCACAGUAAGAGCUUGCUCUUACGGGUGGCGAGUGGCGGACGGGUGAGGAAUACAUCGGAAUCUACUUUUUCGUGGGGGAUAACGUAGGGAAACUUACGCUAAUACCGCAUACGACCUACGGGUGAAAGCAGGGGAUCUUCGGACCUUGCGCGAUUGAAUGAGCCGAUGUCGGAUUAGCUAGUUGGCGGGGUAAAGGCCCACCAAGGCGACGAUCCGUAGCUGGACUGAGAGGAUGAUCAGCCACGCUGGAACUGAGACACGGUCCAGACUCCUACGGGAGGCAGCAGUGGGGAAUAUUGGACAAAGGGCGCAAGCCUGAUCCAGCCAUACCGCGUGGGUGAAGAAGGCCUUCGGGUUGUAAAGCCCUUUUGUUGGGAAAGAAAAGCAGCAGGUUAAUACCCCGCUGUUCUGACGGUACCCAAAGAAUAAGCACCGGCUAACUUCGUG